CGUUAAGAAGCUUAAAAGUACAAGCGCCAGCCUUUUAAGCUGGUGAUGGUGACUAACGCCCGCCCUUAGCGA
rnacentral:tRNA from 1 species